rnacentral:tRNA from 1 species
AGAUAGUGAGCUUGAAUAAGUUUAUACUUUGAAAGUAUAUUAUAGAGGUAAAAUUUUCUAUUAUCUU